rnacentral:rRNA from 1 species
UACGUAGGGGGCAAGCGUUGUCCGGAAUCAUUGGGCGUAAAGAGCGUGUAGGCGGUCCGGUAAGUCGGCUGUGAAAGUCCAGGGCUCAACCCUGGGAUGCCGGUCGAUACUGCCGGACUAGAGUUCGGAAGAGGCGAGUGGAAUUCCCGGUGUAGCGGUGAAAUGCGUAGAUAUCUGGAGGAACACCGGUGGCGAAGGCGGCAUCCUGGACCGGUAUUGACGCUGAGGCGCGAAAGCUAGGGGAGCAAACGGG